rnacentral:rRNA from 1 species
AUUGAACGCUGGCGGCAUGCCUUACACAUGCAAGUCGAACGGUAACGCGGGGCAACCUGGCGACGAGUGGCGAACGGGUGAGUAAUGCAUCGGAACGUGCCCAGUAGUGGGGGAUAGCCCGGCGAAAGCCGGAUUAAUACCGCAUACGACCUACGGGUGAAAGCGGGGGACCGUAAGGCCUCGCGCUAUUGGAGCGGCCGAUGUCAGAUUAGGUAGUUGGUGGGGUAAAGGCCUACCAAGCCUUCGAUCUGUAGCUGGUCUGAGAGGACGACCAGCCACACUGGGACUGAGACACGGCCCAGACUCCUACGGGAGGCAGCAGUGGGGAAUAUUGGACAAUGGGCGAAAGCCUGAUCCAGCAAUGCCGCGUGUGUGAAGAAGGCCUGCGGGUUGUAAAGCACUUUCAGUAGGGAAGAUUAUGACGGUACCUACAGAAGAAGCACCGGCUAACUCCGUGCCAGCAGCCGCGGUAAGUGACUACUG